CGAAUGCUGACAUAAGUAACGAUAAAGCGGGUGAAAAGCCCGCUCGCCGGAAGACCAAGGGUUCCUGUCCAACGUUAAUCGGGGCAGGGUGAGUCGACCCCUAAGGCGAGGCCGAAAGGCGUAGUCGAUGGGAAACAGGUUAAUAUUCCUGUACUUGGUGUUACUGCGAAGGGGGGACGGAGAAGGCUAUGUUGGCCGGGCGACGGUUGUCCCGGUUUAAGCGUGUAGGCUGGUUUUCCAGGCAAAUCCGGA
rnacentral:rRNA from 1 species